rnacentral:rRNA from 1 species
UACGAAGGGGGCUAGCGUUGCUCGGAAUCACUGGGCGUAAAGCGCACGUAGGCGGACUCUUAAGUCAGGGGUGAAAUCCUGGAGCUCAACUCCAGAACUGCCUUUGAUACUGGGAGCCUUGAGUUCGGGAGAGGUGAGUGGAACUGUGAGUGUAGAGGUGAAAUUCGUAGAUAUUCGCAAGAACACCAGUGGCGAAGGCGGCUCACUGGCCCGAUACUGACGCUCAUGUACGAAAGCGUGGGGAGCAAACAGG